rnacentral:rRNA from 1 species
UACGUAGGGGGCUAGCGUUGUCCGGAAUCAUUGGGCGUAAAGAGCGUGUAGGCGGUCCGGUAAGUCCGCUGUGAAAGUCGGGGGCUCAACCCUCGAAUGCCGGUGGAUACUGUCGGGCUAGAGUGCGGAAGAGGCGAGUGGAAUUCCUGGUGUAGCGGUGAAAUGCGCAGAUAUCAGGAGGAACACCUAUUGCGAAGGCAGCUCGCUAAGCUGGUAUUGACGCUGAUGCACGAAAGCGUGGGGAUCGAACAGG